rnacentral:rRNA from 1 species
CUGCCCAGUGAUAAAUUUAACGGCCGCAGUACUUUGACUGUGCUAAGGUAGCAUAAUAAAUUGACUUUUAAUUGGAGCCUUGAAUGAAAGGAUAUAUGGAUAAUUACUGUCUCUUAAUAAUUUUAUUUAAAUUGCUUAGAAGGUGAAAAUACCUUUGUUUAUAUAAUAGACGAGAAGACCCUAGGAGCUUUAACUUUUUUUUGUUGGGGCGACACUAUAACAUUUAACUUAUAGAAUUAUUUAACGAAAAAUUUUAAUAAUAAAUAAGCUACCCUAGGGAUAACAGCAUAAUUAUUUUUAGUUUGUGACCUCGAUGUUGGACUAGGAAAUUUUAAUAUUAUCCAUAUUAAAAAUU